GUCCAAGCUACAGUAUCGAAAACAAUGCCAUCAAAAGUCGUAAUGAUUGACAUUCUGAGCAGCGCUUGUCUUAGCAUCGUACUUUCUGUAUCAUAUGUAAACGCUGUCAGGAGCUGUAGUAGCUUCGUCAAGCGCCUUUCUUAUCGCGACGUUCAUUGGCCAGAUCGUAUAUUUCAUCCAAUCAGGAAGGACAUUGCAUUGAUUCGCCAUUUUUUUUAUUGAGCACAUGGCUUAUGCAAUCGUUCAUGAUGCCACCAAAGAAAAAAACGCAAAUAAAAAACCAGGGCACACUGAAGACUUUUAUGUCAUCGACAGAUGUUGAUGUAGGUGCAGAGAGCGCUAAAGUCGUCAAAAGAAAAUUUCAGCAACGAUGGCUGAACCUACACUCAUGGUUGAGAUACGAUUCGGAAACCGGCAAAAUGACUUGUCACUUGUGCGUGGACGCAAAACGAAGCAAUACAUUUACGCAAGGCUGUCACAACUAUCGACUUUCGAACAUCGAGGAUCAUCUCAAAACGAACGACCACCAAACGGCGAUCCUUGCCCCAGAUCUGAGAAGCAAUUUGCGAGAACUGCAAAAUCGUCAACAUUCGUCUCAGGAGAAAGGUGCCUUAAUUGGCAUCAAGGUUGCCUACUGGAUAUGCAAGGAAGGCAUUGCCCUUUUGAAAUACAAUUCUCUUAUGUCCCUAUUGAGGGAAUUGAAUGUGCCGGAUAUUUCUGCUCUACAGGUUUCGGACACUGUGACUUAUGACUCCUCGUAUGCAGCAAGUGAAUUUAUUGAAGCACUGUCGGCGUCUAUUGACGAGGAAAUAAGUGCAAAAGUGAAGAAAUCCCCAUAUAUUUCAAUCUUAGCGGAUGAAAGCACUGAUAUCUGUGUGAACAAGAGACUGGUUAUUUACACUCAGCUUGUGGAUCCAGUGAAUAUGCAACCUAGCACCAAUUACCUAACCAAUGUUAACAUUACAGAAUGUACUGGAGCGGCUCUUUCACAGGAAAUUGGAAAAGAACUCUCCAGAAGGGGAAUUUCUAUGUCAAAGGUGAUGGGACUCGGCUCUGAUGGAGCAUCGGUCAUGACUGGUCAGGGCAAGGGUGUGGCAGGUCCGAUGAAGAGAGAAAAUCCUGGAAUGGUCAACGUGCACUGCAUCGCACAUAGACUUGCACUAUGUACAAGCCAAGCUGCACAGGGUGUUCCAGCCAUGGAUGCUUUCCAACAAGCAAUCACAGCAAUAUACUAUUAUUUUAAAUAUUCACCAAAGAAAGUUGCCCGGAUGGCAGAAGUAAAUGCCAUACUAGACUUACCACAGCUUAAGUAUAAAGAAGUUCACAGUGUCAGAUGGCUGUCUUUUUACAGUGCACUUGAGAGCGUGUACAGGACCCUAGAUGCCCUUCUAGUUUAUCUGGCUGAAGUUGAUACAUCCAAAGAUCCAAAGGCAGCACAUUUGAAGACAAAGGUGAAUUUUGUUUCGGAUUUUAAAUUUAUUUUACUAACAUUACAGUAUUGAUAUCUUUUAGUUCAACAACAUUCCUAUUAAUUUCUUUGGUUAUUCUUUGGUAUGUUAAUCGUGUUAUUAUUUUAACUGCUGUGUCUGACAGUCAUAUUCUGAAUUCCAAAUGUUAAUCAGCUAACCUGUACAAUAACAUAUUAACAGUUUGUUUUUUUUCAGUUGAUUUAUUGUUCCUUUUGUUUAUUUCAGUUGUUUGAAAGGCAUGCAGAAUUUUUGUAUAAAACAGGUACUUUUAAGAUUUUUUCAUUCAUAAAUUACAUAAUUUAAUUACAACAAAGUAAAUGUUAAUCAUAAAUUAAUCGAUCAAGUGAUAAUAAUGGGGUUGUGAAACACUGAAUAUGCUGAGUUGGGUGGGUUGAAUUAAUUUUGGUAAAAAAAAACAUUCCUCAAGCUUAAUUUUAGGUCUUCCUGUUGAUGAACAUGUAUUUUCAGAACUGAUUGUAUGAAAUCAGUGGUCACAACUGUUCAAAUUCUCUUUCUUCAGGUAGCUUGCGCAAAGUUCAUUGCCCUGACUUACAUGAUGAUGGACAUCAUUCCAGUUGUUGCCAAGUUGAACCUGUUCUUUCAGAAGGAGAAUGUGGAUGUCUCUCUUGUGAAGGUUAACCUAACCAAUACACUUGACAAGUUGAGAGAGUUGAAAUCUGACAAUGGUCUUCAUCAGCAGAAACUGAAGGAUGAUCUAGAUGAUGAUCUGAAGGGUUUCAAGGGUCACACAAUCAAAGGCUGUUCUGAAAAAGAGAUUUCUUCUGCCAAAGUCAAGUUCUUGGACAAACUGAUUGAUAACAUUUCACAAAGAUUUCCUGAACAAGAUCUGUUAGCUGCAAUUGGUGUGUUGGGAUUAAGACCAGUCAGCUUUCUUUCCAAGGAUGAGUUGGCUGACUGGGGAAAUGAGCAAAUGGAAAUACUGAUCCAGCAGUAUGGUGUGGAGAAGACACACACUUGGACAGGAGAUGACAAGCAGCAGCACACAUCUUCAAGUCCUCCAAUCAUCAAUCCUGAUGAUGCCAGAUCUGAGUGGUCUGACUUGAAGUUGAAAGUUCUAGCUGAAAUGUAUCCAAGAGAUACAUUUGCUAAUCUGUGGACAUUGGUCAAUAAGUAUCACAGAGAGGAAUUCCCUAAUAUGAUUAAACUAGCCCAGCUAGCACUCACACUCCCUGUUCACACAGCAGGAUGUGAACGAGGUUUUAGUGCACAAAACACAAUUCUUGUCCCACUGAGAAACAGGCUGUUGCCUGCCACACAGGACGCUAUCAUUAGGGUUAAAGUUGAAGGCAAAAAACUGGAAGACGUAAAUUUUUCUGGGGCACUCGACUGCUGGGGAAAAAAGAAAAGACUUUUGUUCAAUUUGAAAUGAAGGCUUUUUGGUUGGCCAAUCACUAGGCUGCGGUGCAGAGUCUCCUAAGCUAAUGAUCUGGAGCAAGAUAUCGACACUAGUCUAACACCCAGGUUGAAAAGUCAAAAGCAAUUGGCAUUUGAAGGCAGGAUGGACUGCCUCAGUAUAUAUGUGACAUAGAUGUUAUGAAUAUUGCCCACUUUGAAGUUUCCUCAUAGUGUUACUGAUUAAACGCUGUCCAAAAAUUGUUUGUGUUUUGACUUAUUGACUUUUGCCAUUGACUUAUUACAUUUCUUGGGUCCAAGUCAGUGACCUAUUGACAGCUUUUUGUGUCAAAAA
rnacentral:misc_RNA from 1 species